rnacentral:rRNA from 1 species
GAUGAACGCUGGCGGCGUGCCUAAUACAUGCAAGUCGAGCGAACGGACGAGAAGCUUGCUUCUCUGAUGUUAGCGGCGGACGGAUGAGUAACACGUGGAUAACCUACCUAUAAGACUGGGAUAACUUCGGGAAACCGGAGCUAAUACCGGAUGAUAUUUUGAACCGCAUGGUUCAAAAGUGAAAGACGGUCUUGCUGUCACUUAUAGAUGGAUCCGCGCUGCAUUAGCUAGUUGGUAAGGUAACGGCUUACCAAGGCAACGAUGCAUAGCCGACCUGAGAGGGUGAUCGGCCACACUGGAACUGAGACACGGUCCAGACUCCUACGGGAGGCAGCAGUAGGGAAUCUUCCGCAAUGGGCGAAAGCCUGACGGAGCAACGCCGCGUGAGUGAUGAAGGUCUUCGGAUCGUAAAGCUCUGUUAUUAGGGAAGAACAUAUGUGUAAGUAACUGUGCACAUCUUGACGGUACCUAAUCAGAAAGCCACGGCUAACUACGUG